ensembl:lncRNA
CCAUCUCCAACAUUUUUUAUGAGAAAUCAAAAUUUUAGAUUUUUUAUGUUUAUGAGAAAUCAAUUUUUUUUUUUUUAGAUUUCAUACAAUUUAUCACCCAACCCGGCUUCCAGACAGUUAUCGAUCUCACGCAAGAUGGCGACGAAGAUCCCACCGUCAACGUAACAGACAAACCUUCUUCCUACCUGAUUCCACUCCGGCGCACGUCGAGAAUUCAAUAGGAUCCGGCGGCGAACUACUUCCUGGACCCAGCGACGAACCAGCAAGAAAGAAGCCUAGAAAAACAAAUCGUCCCACCUCGCCGGUCAGUCCUGGACCAGACGGCGAACCACCAAGAAAGACUUAUCGUUUUACAGCGGUGGUCCGACCUGAUCCGAACAGCGAACUACCAAGAAAGGCUUAUCGUUUUACCCCGGCGAUCAGUCCUGAGAGCUCUCCAGAGAGGAAAACUCUUUGUCUGACACCACCGAACAGCCCGGCGACCAGUCCUGAGACCGAGCUGUUUUAUGCAGACUCGAGUAGAAGCCAUAAGGAUGACGUGACAACCUGGGGUACGGCUCAAAUCGAUGCUUGGGACCAGAGUUCUUGGACGAGCGAGCGUGACGAGGUGUCAACCACCAACGUGGGUCAAACACCAUAUCCUUCUCACUCACCGUCGUCGGAAGAAGUAGAAGUGGAAGAAGUUCCGGCGCGUCAGCCGGUUGAUGAACCAUUCGAUGAUCUGCCUCCGACUCAUAGGUCCAUUAAUUCGAUAGAAUCAUUUGGUCAAGAGUUUCGCGACGCGCAGGUUGACAUAAACAACAAAUACGUCGAACUCUGUGACGUACAAGAUGAUAUUAACAACAAAUUGAUUGCGUUGCGCAGCAAGUCUCGUGACAGACAAAUCGAAACCCAUAGCAGAUUAGACGCGUUGCACGGCGAGCUCCGUGCCUAUCACCUCGAGACACGCAGUCGAUUCGAUGCGCAGGAUCGCUUUAUUCACGUUCUGGCCGAUGAAAUAUUCCGUCGCGUCAAUGCUAUGAGAUCAAUGAUUGAUCAGCAGUUUGAUAGAAAUGAUAGUAUGGUGAGUCAAUACCAACAGGAAUUGGUGCUCAUUUUGCAUCACCUUAUUCUCACCAUCGUAGACGAGACCACAGAGUCAAAUUGAAUAUAGAUGUAUUCCGAGUAAUUCUUUUAUCGCACGUCUGCUAUGAUUUUUUAAUAUUUCAUGUAUGCUUUUUAUACUUUGUUUACAUAUAAUCCGAUAUUUCAUUUAUACUCUGAUUUUGUAACAAGUCAUAUAUGCUUUUUAUAUUCUGAUUUUGUAAUAGUUCAUUUAUGAUUUUUUUAUACUAUAUGAAAUUUGUAAUAGUUCAUGUAUGCUUUUUUAUACUAUAUGAAAUUUGUAAUAGUUUGUGUAUGCUUUUUAUACUAUAUGAAAUUAGUAAUAGUUCAUGUAUGCUUGUUUUAACUCUAUGAUUUUGUAAUAGUACGUA